rnacentral:rRNA from 1 species
GAUGAACGCUAGCGGCAGGCUUAACGCAUGCAAGUCGAGGGGUAUAGUUCUUCGGAGCUAGAGACCGACGCACGGGUGCGUAACGCGUAUGCAAUCUACCUUUUGCAGAGGGAUAGCCCAGAGAAAUUUGGAUUAAUACCUCAUGGUAUGUGAGAAUGGCAUCAUUUUCACAUUAAAGUCACAACGGCAAAAGAUGAGCAUGCGUCCCAUUAGCUAGUUGGUAAGGUAACGGCUUACCAAGGCAACGAUGGGUAGGGGUCCUGAGAGGGGGAUCCCCCACACUGGUACUGAGACACGGACCAGACUCCUACGGGAGGCAGCAGUGAGGAAUAUUGGACAAUGGGCGCAAGCCUGAUCCAGCCAUGCCGCGUGCAGGAUGACGGUCCUAUGGAUUGUAAACUGCUUUUGUACAGGAAGAAACACUGGUUCGUGAACCAGCUUGACGGUACUGUAAGAAUAAGGAUCGGCUAACUCCGUGCCAGCAGCCGCGGUAAGAC